UACGAAGGGGGCUAGCGUUGUUCGGAAUUACUGGGCGUAAAGCGCGCGCAGGCGGCUAUCCAAGUCAGUGGUGAAAGCCCGGAGCUCAACUCCGGAACUGCCAUUGAAACUGUUUAGCUUGAGGAUGAGAGAGGUGAGUGGAAUUCCCAGUGUAGAGGUGAAAUUCGUAGAGAUCCGGAGGAACACCAAAGGCGAAGGCAGUGUCCUGGGUGGUCGCUGACGCUGAGAGGCGAAAGCCAGGGGAGCGAACGGG
rnacentral:rRNA from 1 species